rnacentral:rRNA from 1 species
CGAACGCUGGUCCGGCACCUAAGAGAAACAAGUCGGACGAUCCUGCGAAGGAUAGUGGCGGACGGUUGACCUCCACGUGGGCGACCUGCCCUGCGGUGGGGGAUAACGGGGGGAAACCCCUGCUAAGACCGCAUGCGACCGCGGCCAUAGGGGGCCGGGGGGAAAAGCCGGAAGGCUGCCGCAGGAGGGGCUCGCGGCGGAUUAGCUGGUUGGGGGGGUAGCGGCCCACCAAGGCGACGAUCCGUAGCUGGUCUGAGAGGACGGCCAGCCACACCGGGACUGAGAGACGGCCCGGACUCCUACGGGAGGCAGCAGU